CUCUCCCGACGCUGGACAACUCCUUUGGGUGAAGAAACGCUCCCCGAGAUCCAACCUGACCAUGAACCCGGAGCCCCUGGGACGCGGUGGGGUGGGGUGACCCCCUCACCUGUAGCAGACGUUGUCGGUGCAGGGGUUGUGGGCGCGGACGAUGAUGAAGACGUGCUGGAAGUGGGACCUGAUGUUCUGGGGGGUGAAGGGCAAAGCUCCGGGUUCUUGGAAGAUGAUGGUGACGAUGUCGUUCCCGAUGUGCCUCUUCCUCAGCAGCUGGAAAGGGGGGACACAAGGGACGGUGGGGGUGGAGGAGGACCCCCAAAUCUGGGGUCUGGGGGAGGUGUCCCCAAGGGGUUGGGGUGUCCCCAAGGGUGGUUGAGGUGCCUCCUGAGAGGUUGGGGUGCCCCCCAAGGAGUUGAGGUGUCCUCAGGGGGUUGAGGUGUCCCUGAGUGGUUGGGGGUGUCCUCAGGAGGUUGAGGUGUCCCCGGAGGAGCUUAGGGGUGUCCUCAGGGGGUUAAGGAGGGGGUUGAGCUGUCCCCAAGGGGUUGGGGUGACCCUGAGUGGUUGGGGGUGUCCUCAGGGGGUUGAGUUGUCCCGAAGGGGUUGUGGUGACCCUGAGUGGCUGGGGGUGCCCUCAGGGGGUCGAGGUGCCCCCCAAGGAGGUUGAGGAUGUCCUCAGGGGGUUAAGAAGGGGAUUGAGCUGUCCCCAAGGGGUUGGGGUGUCCUCAGGGGGUCGAGGUGUCCCCCAAGGGGUUGGGGUGUCCCUGAGUGGUUGGGGGUGUCCUCAGGGGGUCGAGGUGUCCCCAAGGGGUUGAGUUGUCCUGAGUGGCUGGGGGUGUCCUCAGGGGGUCAAGCUGUCCCCCUAGAAGGUUGGGGUGUCCCCAAGGGUGGUUGAGGUGCCUCCUGAGAGGUUGGGGUGCCCCCCAAGGAGUUGAGGUGUCCCCAAGGGGGUUGAGGUGCCCCCUGAGGGGUUGAGAUGUCCUCAGGAGGUUGAGGUGUCCCCAAGGAGGUUGGGGGUGUCCUCAGGGGGUCGAGGUGUCCCCAAGAGGUUGUGGUGUUUGGGGUGCCCCCCAAGGAGUUGAGGUGUCCCCAAGGGGGUUGAGGUGCCCCCUGAGGGGUUGAGAUGUCCUCAGGAGGUUGAGGUGUCCCCAAGGAGGUUGGGGGUGUCCUCAGGGGGUCGAGGUGUCCCCAAGAGGUUGUGGUGUCCCUGAGUGGUUUGGGGUGUCCUCAGGGGGUUGAGGUGUCCCUUGAGGAGGUCGGGGUGCCCCCCUCUAGUGGGGAAGACCUAGAGGUUGAGGAUGGGGCCUUCCAAGGUGGGGAAGAUCUAGAGGUUGAGGAUGGGGCCUUCCAAGGUGGGGAAGACCUAGAGGUUGAGGAUG
rnacentral:lncRNA from 1 species